UACGUAGGGGGCUAGCGUUGUCCGGAUUUAUUGGGCGUAAAGAGCGUGUAGGCGGCCAGGUAAGUCUGCUGUGAAAACUCGAGGCUCAACCUCGAGACGUCGGCGGAAACCAUCUGGCUAGAGUCCGGAAGAGGAGAGUGGAAUUCCUGGUGUAGCGGUGAAAUGCGCAGAUAUCAGGAAGAACACCCGUGGCGAAGGCGGCUCUCUGGGACGGUACUGACGCGAGACGCGAAAGCGUGGGGAGCGAACAGG
rnacentral:rRNA from 1 species